rnacentral:rRNA from 1 species
GACGAACGCUGGCGGCGUGCUUAACACAUGCAAGUCGAACGGAAAGGCCCUGCUUUUGUGGGGUGCUCGAGUGGCGAACGGGUGAGUAACACGUGAGUAACCUGCCCUUGACUUUGGGAUAACUUCAGGAAACUGGGGCUAAUACCGGAUAGGAGCUCCUGCUGCAUGGUGGGGGUUGGAAAGUUUCGGCGGUUGGGGAUGGACUCGCGGCUUAUCAGCUUGUUGGUGGGGUAGUGGCUUACCAAGGCUUUGACGGGUAGCCGGCCUGAGAGGGUGACCGGCCACAUUGGGACUGAGAUACGGCCCAGACUCCUACGGGAGGCAGCAGUGGGGAAUAUGGCACAAUGGGCGGAAGCCUGAUGCAGCAACGCCGCGUGCGGGAUGACGGCCUUCGGGUUGUAAACCGCUGUCGCCUGUGACGAAGCGUGAGUGACGGUAAUGGGUAAAGAAGCACCGGCUAACUACGUG